rnacentral:rRNA from 1 species
AUACCCCAUAGGCCGAGAGGUUAAAGGCAGCGAUGCGCGGCAGGAGGAGCUCGUGUCCUAUCAGCUGGUUGGUGAGGUAACGGCUCACCAAGGCGACGACGGGUAGCCGACCUGAGAGGGUGACCGGCCACACUGGAACUGAGAUACGGUCCAGACUCCUACGGGAGGCAGCAGUGGGGAAUAUUGGGCAAUGGGAGGAAUCCUGACCCAGCGACGCCGCGUGAACGAAGACGGCCUUCGGGUUGUAAAGUUCUUUUAUGUGGGAAGAAGGAAGUGACGGUACCUCAUGAAAAAGCCCCGGCUAACUACGUGCCAGCAGCCGCGGUAAUACGUAGGGGGCGAGCGUUGUCCGGAAUUACUGGGCGUAAAGGGCACGCAGGCUGUGCUUCAAGUCAGCUGUAAAAGGAUGCGGCUUAACCGUGUUAUGCGGCUGAGACUGAGGUGCUGGGGUACCGGAGAGGCAAGUGGAAUUCCCAGUGUAGCGGUGAAAUGCGUAGAUAUUGGGAAGAACAUCGGUGGCGAAGGCGACUUGCUGGACGGUAACUGACGCUGAGGUGCGAAAGCCAGGGUAGCGAACGGGAUUAGAUACCCCGGUAGUCCUGGCUGUAAACGAUGAAUGCUAGGUGUGCGAGCAGAGAUGUUGGUGUGC